rfam:Oryza nivara chromosome 11, whole genome shotgun sequence.
AAUAGGUAGAGUUUUGCACUAUUCAUGUCCAUCGUUUGACCGUUCGUCUUAUUUGAAAAUUUUUUAUGAUUAGUAUUUUUAUUGUUAUUAGAUGAUAAGACAUGAAUAGUACAUUAUGUGUGACUAUUUUUUUAAAAAAAAUUUCUCAAUUUUUUUAAAUAAGACGGACGGUCAAACGUUGGACACGGAUAUCCACGACUGCACUUAUU